rnacentral:rRNA from 1 species
UACGGAGGGGGCUAGCGUUGUUCGGAAUUACUGGGCGUAAAGCGCACGUAGGCGGCUUUGUAAGUUAGAGGUGAAAGCCCAGGGCUUAACCCUGGAAUUGCCUUUAAGACUGCAUCGCUAGAAUCGUGGAGAGGUGAGUGGAAUUCCGAGUGUAGAGGUGAAAUUCGUAGAUAUUCGGAAGAACACCAGUGGCGAAGGCGACUCACUCGACACGUAUUGACGCUGAGGUGCGAAAGCGUGGGGAGCAAACAGG